GAUGAAGAACGUAGCGAAAUGCGAUAAGCAGUGUGAAUUGCAGAAUUCAGUGAAUCAUCGAAUCUUUGAACGCACAUUGCGCCCCUUGGUAUUCCAUGGGGCAUGCCUGUUCGAGCGUCAUUUGUACCUUCAAGCUCUGCUUGGUGUUGGGUGUUUGUCUCGCCUCUGCGUGUAGACUCGCCUCAAAACAAUUGGCAGCCGGCGUAUUGAUUUCGGAGCGCAGUACAUCUCGCGCUUUGCACUCAUAACGACGACGUCCAAAAGUACAUUUUUACACUCUUGACCUCGGAUCAGGUAGGGAUACCCGCUGAACUUAAGCAUAUCAAUAAGCGGAGGA
rnacentral:misc_RNA from 1 species